CAUCACUGUCAAUGGGUUUGUUUUGAAUCGCAGUUAAUUGAUUUCUCUUUGUAUAGUUUUCUUUAUUUUCGUGCGAAAACAAAUCCAGAUUUAAUAUAAUUGUGUAUUCGUAUAUGCUUUAAAAUACAAAUAAACAAAUACAAACAUAUGGAAAACAAAUUGUAAAUAAAAUAUGCUAAGUUGCAAAUGUGCCCUAAAGUAAGGAUAUAACUAAAAAAAUAAUUAAGAUAAAAUAAAAGUCUCGAAAUUCUCCAAUCUCAAGUUUAACAAUGGCAGAGGAAAAUACGGAGGAGGCAUUUAUCAUAUAUCGGGAGGGUGUGGCACAGCAGUUGCAAUGGGCAACAGUGCCACCUUUGGAACGUCAACCUGCCACACGUCUCUGCGCUGUAGAUCAGUAUGAGUUACUAUUAAUACUCACCGCUGAUGGCUCACUUUACAUUGCUAAGAAAUCGACACAUUCCCCCAACACACUGCAUUUAGAAUUGCACCGCACCUGCAUAGUCGAUAUAGCCUAUUGUCGACAGUUGUGUCAACUCUUUGUCGUAACGGCGAAUGGUGAAGUACUGAUGCAAACUAUAAAGCAAACAGGUAGCACUAGCUUAUGCAACAAUGCUUGGCAAUCGCUAUCAUUUGAUCCACUUGAGCUCUCCGAGGAGGGCAUUUUUAUUGAACGCGUUUGCUGUGCUUCGCGCGGCGUAGUCUUUGUUACACGCGCCGGCGAAUUGUAUGUAAUGGGCAGUUGCGGUGAUGUAUUUCACGCAGAAGUGCAGCCCAAGCAUAUACGCUUAAUUGAAGAAAGUAAAUAUUUACUGGAUCUCGUAGCUGGUGAUGAGUUUUUUGUUUUACUACUACAACGCGCUUACCCUACAGAAGGCGAUCCGUUAAAACUCUCGAGCAAUGGACGGCAAACUAAUAUUGCUUCAACAUCAAAUCAUUCGCCUUCAGCUGCACGUGUCCGCGCCUAUGGUAACCAGCUAGAUCUUGAAAAUUCUGUCUGCGAUGACAAUGCAGAUAAAAAAGCCGAAUUAAACUCGAACUCAUCUGUGCGCUCUUAUAGUAGCACCAAAUCCAGCCAAACACAACAAGAUGACAUUGACUAUAAUCUGAAAGAAAUACUUAAACAAGGCUACUCGCUGCUGCACACACAAGUUUGCACAUUUGGUGCUGCGAAUGGCGGCCUACUUGGCACAGGCGAUCACAUUAAACGCAAUACCGUAAAUUAUCUGCAAAAGCUGGAAGCUUUGGGCGUAUGCAGUGUGGCUGCUGGUAGAGAACACAGCGUAGCACGCACUCUCGAUGGCAGAUUAUUCCACUGGGGGCUCAACACGCAGCUACAACUGAAUAACCAAAAAGAACUAACCGAUAUAAGCUCGCCUACCGAACUGAAGUUGGACAAAGUGGAACUGGAAGUGACGCAGCGCAAUAUACUCAAUGCCUGCUGUGGUGACUUCCAAACCGUGCUUUUGAAUGCGCGUGGUGAAUUACAUAUAAAAGAACAGCAGCUGCUAACGAGUUUCGAACAACACUUGCUCACUUUGAACAUGCGUGACGCCACCAAUCGCAAAACCAUCCCCUUGUUGCUCGCCUCGGCGACCUACACUUUGCAGAAUCGUCGUAAAUUCCAACGCCAAUUCCACGCCUACUAUACGGGGCUGCAACAGCAACUGAAAAUGCUGUUGGUGUACCGCCAUGGCAUACAAAUGAUUGAGCUUUUCCAGCAAAAGAGCACAGCUUUCGUGCUGUUGCAGCUGCAACACAUAUGCCAGUUUUAUCACAAACUCUUGUACCUGAUCGCUUGUACGUUGAAAUCCUUUGAGGAAUUUUACCGUUCCGACUUUACAAAUCCGACAGAAUUGGUUUUUGUGCAGCACUACCGCGAGUGUAUCGAACUUUUUACGCAGUACACAAAAGCUUAUUGCGACCUUUACUCGGUCGAUGCUUUCGCAGAGGCCUCCAAACUCUACAGCCAAUUGUCGAGUGUGCCGUUAUUGCCCGGCCAGCGCGAGCAUAAUAUCGACUUGCUGCGCAUCUGUCAGCAGCCCUUUCAAGUAUUCCCCCAUUAUGUGCAAUUCCUCGAACAACUCAUCAAAACGCGUCCUGAAUUCACCGAGCAUCUCUUCGCUUGGGACGCGUACGCGCGUCAACAGCGCAUUGACUUGGAGCUGGCGGAGAACACCUUGGAGUUUUGGCAGCGCAAUGAGCGCAACACAAAAAUUCGGCAUUUUCGCCGUAAGCAGCGACGCGUCAUACUUACCUCGACGACGGUGCCGCUGAAGUUGGCUCACACCACCAUGAGCAUGUCCAGCAACACGUUUAUCCUAUUCUCCGAUUGCUUCUGUCAGGUUAGUGGCCAGUUGCACACAUAUCCGCUCGUGACGCUGUGGGUGAAGAUGGAAACCGACACCGCCUUACGCAUAACAACGCCGGAGCGCACAUUCACGCUGCUAGCGCGUACGAACCACGAUAAGAAACUUUGGUAUGAUCAAAUCGAAUCGGCUGUGAAGCUCGCUACUGGCCGACCGGCGGACGUCAAGUUGUCGAGUGUGCGCACUACGGCUCACCUCUUUAGUCGCAAUCAUGCCAAAUAUGCCGGUGUGCAUGCUUAUGGUCGCUGGCGUAAUGGCGUGCUGCAUGGCAGCUGCUACCUCGAGUAUCCAGACGGACGUGUAUACUUCGGACAAAUUCGGAAUGGCGAAAUAGAAGGUUAUGGCAAAAUGGUAAUACCGUCGGUAGGUCUGUACGAAGGUCAAUUUAAGGCUGACAAAUUCCACGGUCAUGGAACCUACGAGCUGAAAGAUAAUGAGGUUUACGAGGGUCACUUUCGGGAAGGUCUAUUUCAUGGGCAUGGUAUGCAGCGUAGCAAUAAUUGCACCUAUGUCGGCGAAUUUCAGGCCAAUGCGAAAUGCGGUUAUGGUAUCCUGGAUGACAUGUUGACGGGUGACAAGUAUAUGGGCAUGUUUGCGGAUAAUAAGCGUGUAGGCGCUGGCAUCUGUAUUACGAUGAACGGCGACUACUUCGAGGGUCUCUUUGCGAACGAUGAACUAGCAGGUCCGGGUAUAGCGGUGCUGGAAAAGGACUACUACUAUGAGGGCGAAUUGUCGUUGCAGGGCCCAAUUGGCAAGGGUGCUUAUUACAUGCCAACAGGUGCUGCAAAUACAGAGGAUUCGGACCUCAACGAGAGCGAUGAGUUUGCGAGUCGCCAAAUGAUAGGCAAUGUUCUGAGUGGGCAGUUAGGUGGUACAUGGCAAGAAGUGCGCAUUCUCUCUGGCAGCAUGGCUAUGAACAAGCAGUUUCCAAAAUACCCAAAUUCUAUCGGUGCUUUAGUCGUCGAUAACAGUCGCAAAUGGCGUUCGCUCUUUGAAAAUUUCGAAGAAGAAGUGCUCGGCGGUGUUGCCGUUAACAGCUCGCAGAAAUCUGACGAUACCGUGAGCGCGACAAAAGCACUCUGGAAUCGUAUUGCUGUUUACAUGUAUUCGCUGCGUGAGCGUGAACGCACAUUAGAGCAGCAAGACAGCGCUUAUCAGUCGACGCGCAGCUACUUUGCCAAAAACAUAUCACUCGGCUUCUCCAACAGCUUCGAUAAACUGAGUCUAAAGUCCACAAAUAGCUUGCUCACAACAGCUAAAACGAGCAUACUGGAUUUGAGUAGCAGUCUGACGGACUCGCGACGUUCUCAUUCACAGGAAAUGCUCUACGACGGCGAUGUAAACGAUUUCGAUAACGUGUGGGGCUCACAAACCUUCACACAUUACAAUAGCGAGGAUAACAACUCCAUAAGCGGUUUGCUCAACGCGCAGAUAAACCAUUGGUUGGGCGAUGCCAACGCGCCGAGUUUGCGCUCUUCAUGCGAUAGCAUACUGAAUAUUGGCGAAAGUUUCAAUAACAAUAGCUUCACUUCACAAACUGAUCUGGAAAUCGUGCCCAGCUUCGGUAUCACUACGCUGACCGAACAAGAUGUGGCCGCCAUCAAAGAUUACCUACAACAAGCGUUCAAGGAUCGCUAUCAUCCGCUGUAUCUGUUGAAUCAGCGCAUAUCCAACUGCUUUUACAACUCAUACGGCUGUUGGAAAAUGAAGCCGACACCCAUACUGGCAAAGCAAGCGAUGUUGGAAUGGGAAUCGAUCUCGAAACGUGUUUACCGAUUCGUGCAGAAAAUGUUUCCGGCGUUGCCCGAUGACUAUUGCGUAAUCGAAAGCACGCGCGAAGUAGUUUCGCACAUCACACUGCUGUAUCCCAUCGUGCUAAGUGAGGGCAUUUAUUCGACACUGUUCGUGCUGUACGCCAACAAGUGCAGUGUGAAGGACGAAAUGUACAGACAGAAUCUUAUUUAUGCGGACAAGCUGAAAGACGAGGAACUAGCCGCUUGUCUAGGACUCGAUAGCUCAUUUUUACCGAUCGUGCGUCAUGCCUGCUACGCCGACGCCAUACAAACGUUGAAGCAACUCAAAGAAAAAUAUAGUCCCAAAGCGAUGUUAACUGUGAUAGAGCGUUGCAUACAACAAAUAACCGACGCACACAAAGCAAUUGCUAGCGUGAACUCUGUGAUAUUAGCCGCCGACGGCAUGAUGCCGCUCACACUCUUUCUGGUGCUGCGCGCCGCCGUACCGCAUCUCGGCGCCGAGUUAGCGCUGCUGGAUGACUUGACCGGCGGCAGCAAUUUCCAAUUUGAAAUGAACGGCAUUGCCGGCUAUUGCUACACGACUCUCAAGGCUGCCUAUGAGCAUAUCACCGCCGUGCCUCUAAAUAAGUCGUAAUGCGCCCCUCACACACCUGACGUGGUUCUCACACAUGCACUUCAGUUGUGCAGAAAGCUCACCAAAUCAUAUUUUAGUAGCAACUGCAUUAAGCUUUGCGGUUGAAUUUUGAAAAUUGUAGCAUCUAAGCAUAAAUUAACAAAAAUGUUGAAUUUUCAAAUUGUAAAGAGUAAGCGGUCUGUUCCAACGGAGCUAUUGUGUUAAGUGUAAGAAGUAAGCGUACUGUUCAAACUGAGCCAUCGUGUUAAUAGUAGUGGUGCAAAAAUCUCUUAUGUAUAACAAGUGCGAAUUCAGAAUUAUUUAUGCUCGAAGUUUCAGUGCAAAGAAAUUAAGCGGAAAAUUUUCUGAGCAAAUUUUUGAAGCCUGCUCGAAAUUAUAUACUUCCCAGGACAGCCGGUGCUACCGUUCCCACGACAGUCGGCUCAAGUAACCAGAACAGGCCUUGAAUUUUGUCCAGCCAAGGACUUUCAGCUCGGCACCAUGCUUCGUAUUAUCUUCAGGAGUGUGUUCUACCGCUACAACAACAACACGUUCCAUCUUACCGGCAUUAACUCGAA
rnacentral:misc_RNA from 1 species